AUUGAACGCUGGCGGCAGGCCUAACACAUGCAAGUCGAACGGUAACAAGAAGAAGCUUUCUUCUUUGCUGACGAGUGGCGGACGGGUGGGUAAUUUCUGGGAAACUGCCUGAUGGAGGGGGUUAACUACUGGAAGCGGUAGCUAAUCCCGCAUAACGUCGCAAGACCAAAGAGGAUGAGCUUCGGGCCUCUUGUCAUCGGAUGUGCCCAGAUGAGAUUAGUUAGUAGGUGGUGUAACGGAUCACCUAGGCGAAGAACCAUAACUGGUGUGAGAGGUUGACGAGCCACACUGGAAGGGAGACACGGUCCAGACACAUACGGGAGGCAGGAGUGGGGAAUAUUGAACAAUGGGCGCAAGACUGACUCAGCCAGGCCGCGUGUAUGAAGAAGGCCUGCGGGUUGUAAAGUACUUUCAGUGGGGAGGAAGAGAGAAAAGGUAAUACCAGAGCUUAUUGACGUUACCCGCAGAAGAAGAACCGGCUAACUCCGUG
rnacentral:rRNA from 1 species